rnacentral:misc_RNA from 1 species
GAAAUGCGAUAAGUAAUGUGAAUUGCAGAAUUCAGUGAAUCAUCGAAUCUUUGAACGCACAUUGCGCCCGCCAGCACUCUGGCGGGCAUGCCUGUUCGAGCGUCAUUUCAACCCUCAGAACCCCUUGCGGGAUCUGGCGUUGGGGAUUGGCUUCCAGCCAGCCCCGAAAUCUAGUGGCGGUCCCUCCGCGACCUCCCCUGUGCAGUAGCGAUACCUCGCAGCGGGACAGCGGUCUGACCACGCCGUAAAACCCCCAACUUCUCAAGGUUGACCUCGAAUCAGGUAGGAAUACCCGCUGAACUUAAGC